rnacentral:rRNA from 1 species
UACGGAGGAUUCAAGCGUUAUCCGGAUUUAUUGGGUUUAAAGGGUGCGUAGGCGGUUAGAUAAGUUAGAGGUGAAAUCCCGGGGCUUAACUCCGAAAUUGCCUCUAAUACUGUUUGACUAGAGAGUAGUUGCGGUAGGCGGAAUGUAUGGUGUAGCGGUGAAAUGCUUAGAGAUCAUACAGAACACCGAUUGCGAAGGCAGCUUACCAAACUAUAUCUGACGUUGAGGCACGAAAGCGUGGGGAGCAAACAGGAUUAGAUACCCUGGUAGUCCACGCAGUAAACGAUGAUAACUCGCUGUCGGCGAUACACAGUCGGUGGCUAAGCGAAAGCGAUAAGUUAUCCACCUGGGGAGUACGUUCGCAAGAAUGAA